rnacentral:tRNA from 1 species
ACCGAAAUAGCUCAGUUGGGAGAUCGUUAGACUAUAGAUCGAAAGGUCCCUGGUUCGAUCCCGGGAUUCGAUA